AACGAACGCUGGCGGCAUGCCUAACACAUGCAAGUCGAACGAGACCUUCGGGUCUAGUUGCGCACGGGUGCGUAACGCGUGGGAACCUGCCCUUAGGUUCGGAAUAACUCCCCGAAAGGGGUGCUAAUACCGGAUAAUGUCUUCGGACCAAAGAUUUAUCGCCUUUGGAUGGGCCCGCGUUGGAUUAGCUAGUUGGUAGGGUAAAAGCCUACCAAGGCGACGAUCCAUAGCUGGUCUGAGAGGAUGAUCAGCCACACUGGGACUGAGACACGGCCCAGACUACUACGGGAGGCAGCAGUGGGGAAUAUUGGAAAAUGGGCGAAAGCCUGAUCCAGCAAUGCCGCGUGAGUGAUGAAGGCCUUAGGGUUGUAAAGCUCUUUUACCCGGGAUGAUAAUGACAGUACCGGGAGAAUAAGCUCCGGCUAACUCCGUG
rnacentral:rRNA from 1 species